rnacentral:tRNA from 1 species
GUUUUAAUAAUUUAAUAUAUAAAAUAAUGAUUUUGUAAAUCAAAAAUAAGAAAUUAUCUUUUAAAACU